rnacentral:lncRNA from 1 species
GUGGAAUAAGAUAGUUGAAUAAUUUUAUUCAUAUCUUUCUAUGUCAUAUACAAGGCUUUAUAUACAUGAGAGAUUGAAUCACCUAGAUCCCAUGAAAUCUGGGAUUCUAUAAAAUCAUAUAUUUUACUAAAAAGAAGAAAAAGAUAUUCUAGAUUACAACAAUUAUCUUUAAGAUCUUAAGGGAUCAAAUCUUGAUAUGGAGAAUAUCCUCUAUCAGCCAA